rnacentral:rRNA from 1 species
GAUAACACCUGGAAACAGAUGCUAAUACCGUAUAACAGAGAAAACCGCAUGGUUUUCUUUUAAAAGAUGGCUCUGCUAUCACUUCUGGAUGGACCCGCGGCGUAUUAGCUAGUUGGUGAGGUAAAGGCUCACCAAGGCAGUGAUACGUAGCCGACCUGAGAGGGUAAUCGGCCACAUUGGGACUGAGACACGGCCCAGACUCCUACGGGAGGCAGCAGUAGGGAAUCUUCCACAAUGGACGCAAGUCUGAUGGAGCAACGCCGCGUGAGUGAAGAAGGGUUUCGGCUCGUAAAGCUCUGUUGUUAAAGAAGAACGUGGGUAAGAGUAACUGUUUACCCAGUGACGGUAUUUAACCAGAAAGCCACGGCUAACUACGUGCCAGCAGCCGCGGUAAUACGUAGGUGGCAAGCGUUAUCCGGAUUUAUUGGGCGUAAAGCGAGCGCAGGCGGUCUUUUAAGUCUAAUGUGAAAGCCUUCGGCUCAACCGAAGAAGUGCAUUGGAAACUGGGAGACUUGAGUGCAGAAGAGGACAGUGGAACUCCAUGUGUAG